AAAACACAUAUGUCAAAGCAAGAAAAAAAAAAAAAAAACACCGAAAAAAAGAUUCAGUGCUAGAUGUAUGCUUGUUGUUGGCCACUUGGACUAAUGUUUGUUUUGUCUGUAUCUUUGUGCUCAUCGCAUACUACUACAGUCUUACUACAGUCGUUUGUUUCAUCACGAAUGAUCAUUACCAUCAGAGGUGUAUAAGUAAGAGGCUGGUCCAAAAAAAAAAGCAAAA
rnacentral:ribozyme from 14 species